CCUCUAAUAUAAAGAGCAGUGUUUGAUACCACAGAAGGGAAAUAGUGAAAGGCAUCACAGGAAGCUGUUGAAUUUCUUCACUAUCUAAAGAUGUUGACGAUCACUCUGUGUUUGUCAUUCGGUGUGUUUCUGUGGGGAUUUGCUUCAUGCUCUAUCGCAUGUCCUGAUGCCAUGUGCUGCGCCGACCUGCUCCACUGCUGCCCUUCAGGAUAUCGCUGUAACCUGGUUACCAUGAAUUGUGAGAAAUUAGACCAGCCGUGGCUGACCAUACCCAUGGUGAAGAAGGAGGCUGCGGAGAAACGAACCCCCCCUGAACUGCCUGGAACUCCACUCCAGGAGCUUAAAGAGAGCCACGUCCCAGAUCAAAUAAAGAAAUCAAUGGUCUACUGUGAC